rnacentral:rRNA from 1 species
UACGGAGGGAGCUAGCGUUGUUCGGAAUUACUGGGCGUAAAGCGCACGUAGGCGGCCUUUCAAGUCAGAUGUGAAAGCCCCGGGCUUAACUCGGGAAAUGCAUUUGAUACUGUUGGGCUAGAGACCGGGAGAGGAUAGCGGAAUUCCCAGUGUAGAGGUGAAAUUCGUAGAUAUUGGGAAGAACACCAGUGGCGAAGGCGGCUAUCUGGACCGGUACUGACGCUGAGGUGCGAAAGCGUGGGGAGCAAAC